GUCAAGUAAAAUUGGAGAGGAGUUUUUAGCGCGAGAUUUCUUAAAAUCUCGUUUUACACACGUGCCAAGAAUUACCUUGCUAUGGUCGACACUUAGACAAGAUGAGGCUUAACUGAAACAGACGACAUUUUCGAAAUCAAGCAAGUUGAAUAGGCACUAGUAGAUAGAUAGAUAUAUAUAUAUAGAUAUACAUAUAUAUAUAUUUUAAAUCGCAACACUACCAAGUUGAGAAUGGCAAGUAUGUCGAAACGAAGGAGGAAGCGUUCUCCGGCGAGCUUAUCCAGGUUCUCCAAUCCGAACCGGAACGUAAUGCACCCUACGUGUGUAGAAUGUGGUAUUUUGAGAUCGGAACACCUCAUACAGCUAUGCUCCAACGAUCAUCACAUCCAUAGCGGGUGCAUUUUUACCUGGCUCUCCCGAUUCCCGCUGACGGUCUGCACUUCUUGCAUCGGCGUAUUCAACUCCCUCAGGGUAGAACUGACAGGCAACUUGGAAAAAUGAACCGCGAGUUGAGAGAUUCUUCUCGUCUUGCAAAAAUUUGUGAAGCGUCGAAGAGCUUUUGUUUUGUCUUGUUUGCUUUUAAGGGCUGCAGGGCGGAUCUUGCGUUGUGAAGAAAUACCGCCUUAAGAAAUGAUAAUGUGUGUCGUCAAUGAAUAUGUAACACUGAACAUAAUCGUCGUAACUCGUAAUACUUGUAUAAACAAUAUACUAAUAAAUGUAAUAAAAUAGCAGUCUCAAAACA